AGUGAACGCUGGCGGUAGGCCUAACACAUGCAAGUCGAACGGCAGCACAGUAAGAGCUUGCUCUUACGGGUGGCGAGUGGCGGACGGGUGAGGAGUACAUCGGAAUCUACUUUUUCGUGGGGGAUAACGUAGGGAAACUUACGCUAAUACCGCAUACGACCUACGGGUGGAAGCAGGGGAUCUUCGGACCUUGCGCGAUUGAAUGAGCCGAUGUCGGAUUAGCUAGUUGGCGGGGUAAAGGCCCACCAAGGCGACGAUCCGUAGCUGGUCUGAGAGGAUGAUCAGCCACACUGGAACUGAGACACGGUCCAGACUCCUACGGGAGGCAGCAGUGGGGAAUAUUGGACAAUGGGCGCAAGCCUGAUCCAGCCAUACCGCGUGGGUGAAGAAGGCCUUCGGGUUGUAAAGCCCUUUUGUUGGGAAAGAAAAGCAGCAGGUUAAUACCCCGCUGUUCUGACGGUACCCAAAGAAUAAGCACCGGCUAACUUCGUG
rnacentral:rRNA from 1 species